rnacentral:rRNA from 1 species
AGUGAACGCUGGCGGUAGGCCUAACACAUGCAAGUCGAACGGCAGCACAGGAGAGCUUGCUCUCUGGGUGGCGAGUGGCGGACGGGUGAGGAAUACAUCGGAAUCUGCCCAGUCGUGGGGGAUAACGUAGGGAAACUUACGCUAAUACCGCAUACGACCUUCGGGUGAAAGAGGGGGAUCGCAAGACCUCUCGCGAUUGGAUGAGCCGAUGUCGGAUUAGCUAGUUGGCGGGGUAAUGGCCCACCAAGGCGACGAUCCGUAGCUGGUCUGAGAGGAUGACCAGCCACACUGGAACUGAGACACGGUCCAGACUCCUACGGGAGGCAGCAGUGGGGAAUAUUGGACAAUGGGCGCAAGCCUGAUCCAGCCAUACCGCGUGGGUGAAGAAGGCCUUCGGGUUGUAAAGCCCUUUUGUUGGGAAAGAAAUCUUUCAGGCUAAUACCCUGGGAGGAUGACGGUACCCAAAGAAUAAGCACCGGCUAACUUCGUG